rnacentral:piRNA from 1 species
UGGUGAUAGCCUCAGCCUCCUGCUCGCCA